rnacentral:rRNA from 1 species
AGAAUCAACGCUGGCGGCGUGCCUAACACAUGCAAGUCGAACGCGAAAGCCCCGCAAGGGGUAAGUAGAGUGGCAAACGGGUGAGUAACACGUGGGUGACCUGCCUUCGAGUGGGGGAUAACGUCCCGAAAGGGACGCUGAUACCGCAUGACAUCCUGUUCUUAGACGGACGGAGAUCAAAGCUGGGGAUCGCAAGACCUGGCGCUUGAAGAGGGGCCCGCGCCUGAUUAGCUAGUUGGUGAGGUAACGGCUCACCAAGGCUACGAUCAGUA